UACGAAGGGGGCUAGCGUUGCUCGGAAUCACUGGGCGUAAAGCGCACGUAGGCGGAUUGCUAAGUCAGGGGUGAAAUCCUGGAGCUCAACUCCAGAACUGCCUUUGAUACUGGCGAUCUCGAGUCCGGGAGAAGUGAGUGGAACUGCGAGUGUAGAGGUGAAAUUCGUAGAUAUUCGCAAGAACACCAGUGGCGAAGGCGGCUCACUGGCCCGGUACUGACGCUGAGGUGCGAAAGCGUGGGGAGCAAACAGG
rnacentral:rRNA from 1 species